AUGCUUCCAUAAUACUUUUCUUUGUGAGAAGAUUCUGCAGAAUUUCAAUGUUUUGGCAUUGUUUCAUGGUUGUUUAGUAACGUCUCAGGCUUAUUGUAGUUGCUGGGGUGUUACAUGUAUUUCUAAGGUUCUUUUGAGAAAUGUAAGUCCACAUUUCUGGACUUUCAUGUACUCCUGCUAUACUAUCCAUUUGAAUUGCUCUGAGAUUUGUGCAAUAGAAAUGACAAUUAUUCAAAGUUGGGAUGUAAACAAUAUUGCUAUUGUUGGUGCUGGGCUCGUCCUGAUCACUAGGAGACUCUGAUCAAGCUAGGCCUAACCUUAUGUAUUAGUGUCUCCUGAUGAUCGGGACAAGGCUAACACCGAUGAGAGCGAUCUCACCUUUAUCCCUGUUUCAGACCCUUAUCCUAUCCAUGAAUCAAUGUCCAUAACAUAUAAGAUUGUGAAUUUGGAAGGUAUAUUCAUUUAGAAUUUUUAGAACAUAUGUGAGGUUUGAAUCUAUGUAAAGGAGCGGUUACCCCUAAUGCUGGGAAUUCAACAUCCUCGGCAUGAGGUUUUGUUUAUUUAAUUUCUUUUGAGUUAGUUUUUUCCAUUAUUAUCAAUUUUGAAUCUUUUGAUGUAGUUU
rnacentral:precursor_RNA from 1 species